UCCAAUUGCCUUUGACAGUUACCUACACCGCACUCCAGUCGUUGCCUUCUCUACAGAGCCGCGUCUCUUUGUUGUGCGCUCUUGAGAUAUGGUACGUGGUAGAAGAGGUGAUGCUUCCUCAUCUCGACAGCCUUCUUCUUCUCGAGAGCGUCCUACUACAUCAACUAGAAGAAGAAAGAAGAUUGAGAGUUCUAAUGAACCGCCUAUUUUAGAACGAGUAGAAGAGCUAGUAGAAGAGCCAGUGACAGAUUAUGUGAUACCAGUUGAGGAGCAUCCCAACCCUAAUGAAGGGGAAGCAACUGCUCAACCAUCUUACUCUCAUCACGAGUCUCACCACGAAGAUGAUAUUUCUGAACCACUACCUGGCGGACCUACUGAUACAUCUAUUCUAAAAAGUUUUAAAAAUCAUGUUGCAUUUGCAAUAUGGACAGGAGAGGAAAGAGGCAUAUUAAAAUGUAGAAAUCAUGGCCUCAAAAUUCCUGAAUGGCCAUUGAAUAAUCAGCCUUGUGUUCGUGAUACUGUUAUGAGCUCUAGCUUAUCACCCUUGCUAGAAUGUACUUAUCGAAAUAUAAAUCAUGCUCUAGUUUCAGCAUUUACAGAGAGAUGGCAACCUGAGACUAAUAUAUUUCAUUUGCCAUUUGGAGAGUUAAGUAUAACAUUAUAUGAUGUUGCUGCUAUUUUGAAGAUUCCAGUAACAGGAAGAUCUGUAUCUGUGCCUCAUCAUCUGACACCUAGUGAAGCUAGUGAUUUAUUAUGUAGGUUACUUGGGGUUUCAUUAGAUGUAGCAUCAAACAAAUUAGAGAGAAUCGAGGAGCAUUUGUAAAAUUAGAUUGGUUAAAAAAAACAUUUAUGCAUCUACCAAAUGAGGUUUCUAAUGAAGAGAUUGAACAUAUUAGUAGAGCAUAUCUGUUAUUUUUAUUAGGUUGUACUUUAUUUGUGGACAAGAGUAGGACAUUAGUUUCAGUAGCAUAUUUGACAUUAUUAGAAAAUUUAAGUAUGAUCAGUAAUUAUGCAUGGGGAGCUGGGUGUCUUGCAUAUUUAUAUCGACAGCUCGGCAUUGCUACUAGACGAGAGGUGAAGAGUAUUGCUGGAUAUCUUACCUUACUUGAGUGAAGAUAAGCCACGAGCUCUCCGUUGGAUACCUGUUCGCGAUACUGAUUCUUUACAAUCUAUUAGGGAGCAACUUGAUGAUUUAUUACCGGACGAGUUGAUUUGGAAGCCGUAUCGGAGGGUUCAGGCACACCAUCAAUUUCCAGAAAUUACAUUUUUCUCAGGUUGUCUAAAAUGUGGAAAUAUUAUAGAACCAUAUCAUCCUGAGAGAGUUUUGCGACAAUUUGGGUAUGUACAAACUAUUCCUCCACCCCCAUUAUCACCUGUGAAAGCUAAGCGGGGUCCGGCUACGGCUUUAUAUCAGGUAAUUUAUACAUUUGUUGAUGAUAUGUGGAAUCGAUGAGAUAUGCAUUUAUUACCACCACGUAAACGUGGUAAAUAUUCUAAAUUUCCAUGGCAUUUUACACCUAAAUAUUUAACAUGGUAUGGAACUAUUACACAUCCGAUUAUACAAAAUCCUGUACAUCGAUCCAGUUUUGAUAGAGGUGCAGAAGAUAUGCCCUUGCUUGCUGAAUCACGUAAUCGACUAGCAUUAUAUGCUAUCCAGCAGACGAUUUCAAGUAGUGAGCCUGUAUCUGCUGAUGUAUGGAGAGAGACAUGUCUUGAGGUGAAUCGCAUUCUAGGCUCUCGGCAUCCUUCUGAUAAUAUUGAAGCGUCCACGUCUCGUACAUCUCCGCACAGAUAGUUUACUUCGUACUAUAGCUUGUUUAUAGUUUAUUUAUAACAUCG